rnacentral:tRNA from 1 species
UGGCUCAGUGGUUAAGAGCACUGGUCUUCCAGAGGUCCUGAGUUCAAAUCCCAG